UUCAGGACUGUUAAAAUGUGAAAACGUUCUGAUAUUCUCAGCAGCAACUACAGUGAUUUCACAGACAUACUCACCCCAGCCAGCAGUAUAUUCCGAAGUUAUGGAGUCCGUGGCCAAGAAAUGAGCCAUCCUAGGCUUAAUUUGGAUCUUUGAUCCCAAAUGUUGCCUUGUAAUCUGGUACUCUGAUGUCUUCUGGAGACACUGGUUUUAAUACAGGCAAGUAAGCUUGUGAAGCCUCUCUACCCUCUGAAAAAGGCUUUAGCAUUCUUAUACACAGAUUUUGGCUUUCACACUAGUAUUUUUCUAUGGGGUUGGCUGCACUUGCCAAGGGUGUUGUCCUGAGGGACAUGGCUCUUGAAAGUGCGUCACCCUGAGCUGCUGAUGCGAAAUCAGCUUAUUCUCAAACAGCCUCUGUCUUCCAGAAAAGGAAAAAGCCUGAUUUCCUGCUUCUAAUCCUUUUUCACCCUUUCCUUAAAAUAAAUUAGAUAUUUCUGUGCUGCAGGGUCUGCCAGCAAGGACAGAUCCUGCAGACUCAAAGGACACUAGCUGCUGUUAGUUGGUUUGCCACAGCUCUCCUUCUACUCUUUAUCAGGGCACUGUGAGCAAGCUGCUGAGACACCUAGAUUUGGCCUUCCUUCUGUACCCACUCACUGACACACCAAAUAUCUUGGGUGAUCGACUGAUUCCAUCUGAUCUACUAAUUUCUGUGUUUUGGGAUGGGGCAGCAUUGUACCUACAGACAGGGGGGUGAGAGGUUGGAGCGAAGCCCCAUGGAAGGGGAUCUGGGAGUUCUGGCUGGCAGAAAAUCCAGUGUGAGCUACCUGUGUGCCCUAGCAGCCAAAAGGGUCAACUGUACUCUAGGUCUGCACAAGACACAGCACUAUCACCAGGGAUUGUCCCACUCUCUUGACCUGCACCAUCAUGGAGGCGGCUCUUCCGCAAACUGCAGGUAACCAAAACAUCAGCUCAAUUCCCCUGCACUCAGUGCUGCUCAAGCAAGCCAAAAGGUUGGAUACCUAGAGUCUAAAGGGUAAGAAAUAUGAGGUGUGGCUGAGGUGCCUGGGUUUGUUCAGUCCAGAGCAUGGGAACAGCAUGGAGCUGCAUCAGGGGAGGGUCAGAUGGGGGUUAGGGAAAUGUUCUGCACCAGAGGGCAGUCAGGCUGCCAGAGUUCAGUGCUCCCAGACAUAGGAUUUGAAGUCAGGAUGGUCUUGUGUGGAGCCAGGAGCUGUAUUCAGUGUUCUUAGCCAAUCCCUUCUAGCUUGGGAUAUCUUGUGAUUCUAUGAAUUUUCUAGAAAUUGGCAUCCUGGACUUCUGGAGAAGAUGGUGCUAAAAUAAGCUUCUCUCGGAUGUUGAUGUUACAGAUGCCCAGUUAGAUAUUAUAGCGAGGGGUGAGAAAAGAGUUUCCAGGCACAUUUUUGUGCUAUACAGUCAGUUGUGUGCUACCUAACUUGCAACUUUCAUUCCUGGUGAAGGCUCUUCCAUGUCCUUACCAAACCAGCAAACUUCUUCUCUCCAUAAAAUGAGAAUUCUCAGUUGGAAACAAACUUGAGUAACUCUCAUAAACAGAGCCUGUGUGAGUGCGUUUUGUGAAGAGUACGCUUUGUGAGUCACAGCUGCAAAAGCAAAGAGUUUACAGGAAGAUCAAGUAUGGGCAUAGAUGUUGGUUACUUAAUAGAGGACGUCACUGUCAGAGAUUCUCUACUUUAAAGUGCAGUUAUCAUCCAGAAAGUGUAAAAGUGACAUCCUGGUAUGCCACAUUUUUCCUCCUCUGCAAUUUCUAUCCCAAAUUCACUCAAGUCAAUACCAUGUUUUUUCUUUGACUGCCAGCACAGCUAGCUCAGCCUGUAACCUGAGAAUCAAGCUGUGUUCUUUCUGCUUAUUAAAACACUGCCAACUGCAAAGCUUCUGGAAUCAAACAUUAACUGGCAAUGCUGUGGGAGAGGCAGGAGAGCUGAGUACAACAUGACUAGCACAUCCCUAGCUACAGGAAGGAGAAAAAGAAAAAAAUAAUCAUUAAAUUCAGCACACAUGCCUCAGGAGACCCACAGAGAACACAUAUUUACAGCACCUGUAGUGCUAUUUUUUAUGCAGUUGCUUUUCUGUCUAUCACUGCAUUUCACGAUAGAACAGCUAAAUAGGGAGCCACAUAGUUCCUUACUCAAGUCCUAGGUUUGUCAGAUUUCCAAAGGAUUCAUAUAAAGGAAGCAUGUUAAAAAAAAGUAGAGGCAGUAUUUAUUUACUAUUGACUUAGUUAAAUUGCAGCACCUUUUGCAGCUUGCAAAUGUGGCCAAGGUGUACUUAGUCUUUACUUUGUAUGUGUUUAGUUGUUGAGAUAGCUUAAACAAUAUCUUCUCAGAGGCAUUAAGAUCCUUGGGUAGAAAGAGGAAUCAAAGAGUAGAUGAAUGAAAAUUAUAAAUAGUUCAAAAUUUGUGCUGGAUUCAGAAGAACGUCAAAAAGUCCAUGUUUAUCUGGAGUUUUUCUGAAGUGUAUGAACUCCUAGUGUUUCAAAACGAAGACAAGAGCUCUCAUGAAGUGUUUCUGAUGCCUGUGCUGUUUGUCCCACCUAGAGAAACUGCAGAGCUGAGUGCUCACUGCUUAGCACCCCACAGAUCUAUUUAUCCCUGCAAAUAUUGAAAACAAAUCAAAAUGCUGGAUGAUUACAUGUGCAAAAUGGGUAAAGAAUUGCAGCAUUUCUGUAGUGCUUUUUCAUGCACAAACACAGACAUGGAUAAUGAACUGUUUUGCUGCUGCUCAGUUUGGUUCUCAUCCCAGCUUUGCAGUGAUGUCUAGAAAACACCUGCUUUCCUUGAGAACAAUAUGGCUACUGAUGCCAGUAGAUGAGCUGCCUUAGAUGGCUUUCUUGGUUAGGUACAAAAUAUGUAGGACAAGUGAGCCUUGUGGGACCUUAAUUUCUCCUGGGUGAAGACUGCAUAGAUAAAAGGCCUGCUACCUGAUAACUGAGUCUGCCAUUUCGGGAAUCUCCAGAGGAAGAGAGUUUGCACACACGGAAUUCUGACCCUGACUGUGCUCAUCGUAAGACCACUAGCUGUCAACUCUCUAGGCAUGGCAUCAUGCAAACUGACUGUAUCAGUCAGUUACUGCAGUGCCAAACUCAAAGGAAGGUUUGCAGAGCUUAAACCAACUGUUGUAUGUCAGCUGAUUAGAAUUAAAUCUCCAUGUGCCUAAGUUACAGAAUGGCAGAAUGCCUGUGGUUGGAAAGGACUUCUGAGAUGAAAUGUCACAACUUCAUACUCGAGAGGGACACCCUGAGCAGGCUGCCCAGGGCCAUGUCCAGGCAGCUUUUAAAGAUCUCCAAGAAGGAGACUCCACAGCCUGUCUGGGCAACCCGGGCAAGUGCUGAGCUACCUGCACAGAAUGGAGUUGCUUUUAUUGUCUACACAGAAGCUGCUGUACUGCAAUUUGUGCCCACUCAAGGCUCAUUCUGUCCUUUAAAGAAGUUGAAUAUGAUAGCCUGCAGUGAACAAAACAGAUGGAAGCUAAUUCCUGUAUUGCUGUCUAUUGUCCAACUGAAGUGUAUAACACUGGAAAUCACUGGCAAAAUCUCUGUUCAUUACAGAGAAAGCGAGAUAUGUCUUGCAGUUCACACUGAAAUAUGCUCAGAACUCUCUGAGGUGCAGAGUUUCGCAUUGGAAAAGACCUUAAUUCCAAAGGUGUUAAAUGUAACAUCCAGUCCAGUUGAUAAGGAUCCUUUUUUAUUUUUUCCAGAAAAAGUUUCUCUGUUGUUUGUCUGGAAAAAAAAAAAAAAA